UACGUAGGGGGCAAGCGUUGUCCGGAAUUAUUGGGCGUAAAGCGUGUGCAGGUGGUUUUGUAAGUUAGAUGUGAAAGCCCCGAGCUUAACUCGGGAAGGGCAUUUAAAACUACAAAACUUGAGUAUGGAAGAGGGUCGUGGAAUUCCUGGUGUAGUGGUGAAAUACGUAGAUAUCAGGAGGAACACCGGUGGCGAAGGCGGCGACCUGGUCCUAUACUGACACUCAUACACGAAAGCGUGGGGAUCAAACAGG
rnacentral:rRNA from 1 species